rnacentral:rRNA from 1 species
AGCGAACGCUGGCGGCAGGCCUAGUACAUGCAAGUCGAGCGGCCCUUCGGGGCAGCGGCGGACGGGUGAGUAACGCGUGGGAAUAUGCCCUUUGGUACGGAACAACACAGGGAAACUUGUGCUAAUACCGUAUGUGCCCUUCGGGGGAAAGAUUUAUCGCCAUUGGAGUAGCCCGCGUUGGAUUAGCUAGUUGGUGGGGUAAAGGCCCACCAAGGCUACGAUCCAUAGCUGGUCUGAGAGGAUGAUCAGCCACACUGGGACUGAGACACGGCCCAGACUCCUACGGGAGGCAGCAGUAGGGAAUCUUGCGCAAUGGGCGAAAGCCUGACGCAGCCAUGCCGCGUGAAUGAUGAAGGUCUUAGGAUUGUAAAAUUCUUUCACCGGGGAAGAUAAUGACGGUACCCGGAGAAGAAGCCCCGGCUAACUUCGUGCCAGCAGCCGCCGUAAAAC